ACAGAGUUACUCAGUACUUGUAUUGGUCGGAGAUCACAGGUAUCCAGUGAAUCCAUCGAGAUGCACGCAAACUGAUCCAAAUAUCAUUGUUCUGUUAUCAAAAAAGGGAAAAGCCACUUUUGCUUCCAACCUACAAACCACCAGUUCGAAGAAUCACAGUGGGUAAGCUGGGGAUCCCUAGCAGCAGGGGGAAUGGGGAUAAUAAGUUGUAUUUUAGCAGCAGUGGUCAACUAUUAUUUUCUGAUUUUGUAACCUUGUUGUGUUGUCUUGAAUCAAAGUAGGCUAUAAAUUCAAUGAAUUAUUUUGUUCUUUUGGAAUGAAAAACAGACAAGAAAUUGUCUCAAAUAUAUUUCUUCUUUUGGCAGCCAAGAGUGUGGCAUAGCAUCAAUGAAAUGUGCGAAAACUAUGGGAGACCAGGAUUCAAAUUCCAGCGGCGGAGAGGAAAAGAAAAUGCUAGGUAUUUCUUCUCAUUUGUUUAAGCGUUGAUGGACAAAGUUAAGCAUGUUUCUGUGUUGAUGGGAGAUGCCAUAUACUCGUCGAGAUGUGGACAAGCUGGCUCGGACGCUGUUGUUACAGGAAAAAAGUAUAUUUCUUCUUCCGUGUGUUAAUUUAUUUGCAUAUAUUUACAUCUCUAGAGUUUAGGUAUAAAACGAAGUACUAACAAACACAAUUGGAGUGAAUGAAUAUGAUGUUUACACCGAACAAUAUCCAAAAGAUAACGGAUUAAAAUGAACUUUUAAAGCCUACUUUCUAUAUUGCAGAAUUAUCGAUACAUAUAUACUUCUGAAAGACCUCCAUUCUUUUCAGAUCAAAGCUUUAACCAAACUGUGUUUGGCAUUAGAAGAUCCUAUCAACC
rnacentral:lncRNA from 1 species